CCUACGGGACGCAGCAGUGGGGAAUAUUGCACAAUGGGGGAAACCCUGAUGCAGCGACGCCGCGUGAAGGAAGAAGUAUUUCGGUAUGUAAACUUCUAUCAGCAGGGAAGAAAAUGACGGUACCUGACUAAGAAGCCCCGGCUAACUACAUGCCAGCAGCCGCGGUAAUACGUAGGGGGCAAGCGUUAUCCGGAUUUAUUGGGUGUAAAGGGUGCGUAGACGGGAAGGCAAGUUGGUUGUGAAAUCCCUCGGCUUAACUGAGGAACUGCAACCAAAACUAUCUUUCUUGAGUGCUGGAGAGGAAA
rnacentral:rRNA from 1 species